UGCUCCCAUGGUCAAACUCACAAACACGUUCUGGGACUAAACACAGCUAUAUACAUACCCAACAGCAGUGGAGAAGCUACCAGCAGCUUCAAAAGGUUUACAUCAUACCUCCCCCCAUCCUCAUCAAUUAUUAUUCUAUCCCAUUCCUUGGCUCUCAUCCGGCUGCUGGGAGGUACUUGGAUGCAGGGGAUGCUGCAGCACUGUCAAGGGCAUUAUGAGGCAGGCCUAGAUCUAGAGCGCCCUCCCUGCUCAACACACAGGCACCCUCACUACAGUGUUGGUGCAGCAGGCAAGAGACAAUAGAGUCCAUGAACUCCUGGGCUGGGCUGGGCUGCCCUAGUUAUGAAGAGAUACAUCAGGAUCUUUGAAAGAGUCUACUAUCCCAGCACUGUCAUUCCCAGGAUCCAAAGCUACCAGUGUUAAUUAGUUCCCGUGAUGUGAUGGAUGACAAGCGGCAGGGCCAGGAAUGACACAAGCAGAUUGUGCUCAAAAUAAGCCAUCCCUCACCAUCAAGGGCAGAGGAAAGGAAUUUGGAAAGGACAGGAGCUGAGCACACUGCUGCGAGAUGGCAGCAUAUCACAGCUCAACGAGUACCCAGACAUCUACCUGCACAUGCCCAGAGUGCAGAGC